AGAGCGAACGCUGGCGGCAGGCCUAACACAUGCAAGUCGAGCGCGUGUAGCAAUACACGAGCGGCAGACGGGAGAGUAACACGUGGAAACGCGCCCUUCGGUUCGGAAUAACUCAGGGAAACUUGAGCUAAUACCGGAUACGCCCUUACGGGGAAAGAUUUAUUGCCGAAGGAACGGCCCGCGUCCGAUUAGCUAGUUGGUGAGGUAACGGCUCACCAAGGCGACGAUCGGUAGCUGGUCUGAGAGGAUGACCAGCCUCACUGGGACUGAGACACGGCCCAGACUCCUACGGGAGGCAGCAGUGGGGAAUAUUGGACAAUGGGCGCAAGCCUGAUCCAGCCAUGCCGCGUGGAUGAUGAAGGCCUUAGGGUUGUAAAGUCCUUUUAACGGGGAAGAUAAUGACGGUACCCGUAGAAUAAGCCCCGGCUAACUUCGCGCCAGCAGCCGAC
rnacentral:rRNA from 1 species